GCAGCCGUGGCCUAGUGGUUAGGGCUUCAGGCUUGAAACCAAAGGGUUGCAGGCUCGAUUGCUGACCAGUAGGA
rnacentral:tRNA from 1 species